rnacentral:lncRNA from 1 species
UAUUUAGAAAGAGAAAGCAAAACUUCACAAUACCGCUGAUGUAUUUAUUCAAAUCUCUGGUGCAGUGUUCAUCCACUUAUAAUUCAUUUUGCAUUUAUGUAUGUUUAUGUUCAGUUGCCUGAAAAAGAUGAAUGUUUUUAAGCUACUGGAUCAUACUUUUGAAAUACUUCGCUCUAUUGAUGUCAGCAUCUAAAGCCUUACAACUGCAUUCUUUUCAAUAAUAUCUAACUCAAUACUACAUCAUGUGCAAAAAUGUGCAUUUGAAUACAAUUAAAAUGUGUCAUUUCUCAGAUGCUUUGAUUCAGAUUUAGAAGAUUUGUGAUCAAAACAAUAUUUAAAGUUUAAAAAUCAAUCACCUUCAACAAUCGCAACACAAACUAAUUUGCAUGGUUUUAAAAACUAUAUCAAUUUGAUCCUGCAUAUUUGUACAAAGAUUUCAUAAGACCACGCAACAUUUGGAGCAAUUAUUACAACUAGCUCCAGAACGUUUGCGGACUUUUUAUCACGCAAAGAAAGAGUGCUACUAAUGCCUUCAGUUCUUUACACAUUGUGGAGAAAAGUAUCACACUAAAUUAACUUUAACUCCAGACUUUACAGAUUGCAUGACAUGGAAUAUUUACAUGAAAAGAGUCAGCAACGUCAAAAACAAAUAUAGACUUGAUGCUGAUCGAACUGUUUGUGCACAAGAAAUAAUAGUGGCGACAGACAUGGAAAAAGUAAUCAUGCUACCGAGAAUGGAAAAUCUUAAAGAAGCAAUAUUUUGUCAGCGAUUAACAACAUACAAUGAAACAUUUGUGCCUAUUUGGAAUACAAAGGAAAGUGUUGUUUCAAUCGUUUGGCAUAAAGAAUUUGCUGGGCGGUGCAAAGAAGAGCUUAUUUCUACAUAUUAUCUGUUUUUGCAAAAAUAUCGGGACAAAUCUGAAAUCACUAUUUGGUCCGCUCAAAACAAAAAUUGGAGUUUAGUGAUGUUUCUCAUAUAUAUGAUUAAUGGCAAUGAAAUCGCAACUAACAAAAUCAAUUUAAAAUAUUUGGAAAGUGGUCACAAAUUUAUGAGUUAUGACUCAUUUCAUCAUUUAAUAAAGAAGAAAAUGUCACGUGGACGAUUUCAAUGGUUUUAUUCAAAGAGUGGAAACAGCAAAACCAAAUACAAAAGUUAAAAUUUUGCAGAUGCUCAAGAGUUUUUAUCAAGCAAAACAAAGUCACUUGUUUCGGAGACCGUAAAAAUGUAAGUAAAU